CACACACACACACACAUUCAUAUCUAUAAUCUGCCCAUGCGGAGAACGGGAUGAUGAACUAGUAGUUAAUAUACAAUAUGACACCAUGUUGUAGAUAGAAAUUCAUUUGGUGAUCAGACAUUAAUGUAUACUGUGUUAUCCACCACCUUUAGUGAAACCAACCUAUCUAAAUUGUCCAAGCAUCUUAAUUUGGAUCACCUUUUUCCAGUCUGGAUUUGCCAUAUGGGUUUGAAAUUAAUUAUAAUAUCAUUUAUUGAUGGGACAGCUAGAUGGAUUGAUUGUUUUCGAUUAAACAUAAUUAGCUAAUGAAGGCAUGCAAUUUUGUCAUUACAGGGACGUUGUCAUGAAAUUGAAUAGACAAAUGGAUGGAGAAGGUGUUAAGCUAAGGAAGGCUGGAAAACUAAAAUGAAGGAAGUAUCACAAUAAAGGACCGAAUUAUGUAUGGCACCUUGAUGGUUAAGAUAAAGUGAAGCCAUUUGGCAUAAGCAUACAUGGUUGUAUUGACGGGUACUCUCGAAGAAUUAUGUGGUUGCGGGCAAGUAAAACAAACAAUGACCCUAAAGUUAUUGCUGGAUACUACUUUAAGUCCAUCAGAGAAAUUGGAGGUAAUGAAUGAAAUCAUGCUUGGUGUCCCCGGGUAGUGCGAGCAGACAGAGGCACUGAGAAUACAACAAUUGCUUUUGUUCAGCCAUUUCUAAGGCACUAUGGGACAGACAGCCUAGCCAAAACUAAGAGUUUUUGGUACGGGAAAUCUAUCACAAACCAGCGAAUUGAGUCAUGGUGGGGUCAGUUAAGGAAAAGAUGUAUGCAAUGGUGGAUGAACUUUUUCAAAGAUAUGCAACUUUCAGCAAAAUUUAAUGAUUCAAACCCAUUGCAUAGAAUGUGUAAGGAUGCCCUUCGAUUUUGUUUUAUGGAUCUUAUCGACAAUGAACUUCAAAUUGUGAAGCAGGAGUGGAACAAACAUACAAUUCGCCUUUCCAGGUAUACAGAUACUCCCCAGAGAUUCCUAAUGCUUUGUACUUUUACCCACAACUGAAAGGUGCAAAUUGCUACAAGUGUCCUGUAACUGAAGAACAGUUGGCUGCUGUAGAGAAGCAUGUAUCAGAUCCACCACCUGCUGCUUCCCCUGAAUUCUGUUCAAUCGCACAGUAUGUUAUGAGGAAAAACAACAUUAUAGAAACACCAAAAUCAGCAGCAGAGGGGCUUGCACUGUAUGAGCAACUAGUUAAAGCUGUGACAGACCAUGACUCUGCCACAUUGGCAUAGGAAUUGUUAUUGUGUUUGGCUGAGAUGCCACAAUGUAUCACAACGUUUACUGGUUUAGUGCAUGUAUGGCGAAGUUGAAGUGUAGACAGAAAUAUAAUUUAAUUGUUUAGGGGUCUUCUA